rnacentral:rRNA from 1 species
UACGGAGGGUGCAAGCGUUGUUCGGAAUUAUUGGGCGUAAAGGGCGUGUAGGUGGCUUACCAAGUCUGGUGUGAAAUCCCACGGCUCAACCGUGGAACUGCAUUGGAAACUGGUGAGCUCGAGUAUUGGAGGGGGUCGCGGAAUUCCCGGUGUAGAGGUGAAAUUCGUAGAUAUCGGGAGGAACACCAGUGGCGAAGGCGGCGACCUGGCCAUUUACUGACACUGAGACGCGAAAGCGUGGGUAGCAAACAGG